UCCACGCCCUAAACGAUGAGAACUAGCCGUUAGGGACAUCUGGUUCCUAGUGGCGCAGCUAACGCAUUAAGUUCUCCGCCUGGGGAGUACGGCCGCAAGGUUGAAACUCAAAGGAAUUGACGGGGGCCCGCACAAGCGGUGGAGCGUGUGGUUUAAUUCGAUGCAACGCGAAGAACCUUACCUGCUCUUGACAUCCUGGGAAUCCUUCAGAGAUGAGGGAGUGCCUUCGGGAACCCAGUGACAGGUGCUGCAUGGCUGUCGUC
rnacentral:rRNA from 1 species